rnacentral:rRNA from 1 species
AAUCAACGCUGGCGGCGUGCCUAACACAUGCAAGUCGAGCGCGAAAGGGGAGCAAUCCCCAAGUAGAGCGGCGAACGGGUGAGUAACGCGUGGGUAAUCUGCCUCCGAGUGGGGAACAAACAUCGGGAAACUGGUGCUAAUACCGCAUAACAUCGUUGGGUUUUCGGAUCUGACGAUCAAAGCCGGGGACCGCAAGGCCUGGGCGCUUGGAGAGGAGCCCGCGUCCGAUUAGCAGGUUGGUGGGGUAAUGGCCCACCAAGGCUUCGAUCGGUAGCCGGCCUGAGAGGGCGGACGGCCACACUGGGACUGAGACACGGCCCAGACUCCUACGGGAGGCAGCAGUGGGGAAUUUUCGCAAUGGGCGAAAGCCUGACGAAGCAACGCCGCGUGGAGGA